rnacentral:rRNA from 1 species
GGACACGUGGUAUCCUGUCUGAAUAUGGGGGGACCAUCCUCCAAGGCUAAAUACUCCUGACUGACCGAUAGUGAACCAGUACCGUGAGGGAAAGGCGAAAAGAACCCCGGCGAGGGGAGUGAAAAAGAACCUGAAACCGUGUACGUACAAGCAGUGGGAGCACAGGUUUACCUGUGUGACUGCGUACCUUUUGUAUAAUGGGUCAGCGACUUAUAUUCUGUAGCAAGGUUAACCGAAUAGGGGAGCCGGAGGGAAACCGAGUCUUAAUUGGGCGUUAAGUUGCAGGGUAUAGACCCGAAACCCGGUGAUCUAGCCAUGGGCAGGUUGAAGGUUGGGUAACACUAACUGGAGGACCGAACCGACUAAUGUUGAAAAAUUAGCGGAUGACCUGUGGCUGGGGGUGAAAGGCCAAUCAAACCGGGAGAUAGCUGGUUCUCCCCGAAAGCUAUUUAGGUAGCGCCUCGUGAAUUCAUCUCCGGGGGUAGAGCACUGUUUCGGCUAGGGGGCCAUCCCGGCUUACCAACCCGAUGCAAACUGCGAAUACCGGAGAAUGUUAUCACGGGAGACACACGGCGGGUGCUAACGUCCGUCGUGAAGAGGGAAACAACCCAGACCGCCAGCUAAGGUCCCAAAGUCAUGGUUAAGUGGGAAACGAUGUGGGAAGGCCCAGACAGCCAGGAUGUUGGCUUAGAAGCAGCCAUCAUUUAAAGAAAGCGUAAUAGCUCACUGGUCGAGUCGGCCUGCGCGGAAGAUGUAACGGGGCUAAACCAUGCACCGAAGCUGCGGCAGCGAACGUAUCACCCAAGACAACUUUACGGAGUUGACGAUUGACGGAGCGAAGCGACGUCAAAGCGUUCAUUAAAGUCGAGUUGGCUUAGGGAUACGUUCGUUGGGUAGGGGAGCGUUCUGUAAGCCUGUGAAGGUGUGUCGUGAGGC